CUGAAUAUACAGGGCAAUUAUGCGCACAGGGUGAGGGGGUGUGAUUCUAUGAUAUAUGAUUUUAUAUGAUCAUUUUCAUCAUAUAUGAUUUUUUUCCUAUCAUUUUAUUCACAGUGCUGUUGUUCCACAACCUCCUGAUAUUCCGACGUGACUCUAGAGGGAGUCAUUCCGGUCUCUCUCUCUCUCAGCUGGUAAACAAGCAUCAGCCAGGCGAGACUGCAGCUUCCCAGAAAUAACCCAUGCACACACACACACACACACACACUCACGAACGGGAUUUUCUUGCCCGCGUCGUCGUCUUCAGUGUGUGUUCGUGACGAACAAGCGGCACAGGAAUCUUUUGGGAAGAGCAGUCGCAGUAGAGCAUUCAGCGUCAUUUAUUGCAUAAGGCGCUGUCCUGCUUUAUUCAUGUUUUGCCCGGAGCUCCGCAGCCGAGCCGAGCCGAGCCGAGCCGGGUCCGGUCCGGCCCGGUCCGGUCCGGUCCCGGCUGCUUCAUCUCUAUAAUUGUCAUCUCAUUCAGGAAACAAGAGUUCGACGACGCGGCCGAUUUAAAUGGAUCACUUUAUGUGCCACGUGUUUAAAGGUUACUGUAGGUUAAAGCAUAAUGGAAAAAAAGAACAACAACAAACCUCCCCCUGUCAGCGAAACAGAAGAGUGACCCAUAUAUGGUAAUAUGAAAAAAAAAUGAACUAGUGAUCGUGCUGACGUAAAAAAAAAAAAAAAAAAAGAUUCUCCUGAUCUUGAUGCGUCAAUGCCGGUGAUGUGCGUAAUGAUGAAAUGCAGGAGGCAGCUCAGCUGGGUACCGCGGUGUGGUGAUGGUGAUGGUGAGGAGAGUUGUGCUGCUCACAGCCAAUAGCCUGUCCGUGACCUGGGGGGAUGAGAUUGCUGAUUCGCCCUCCUCAUCCUGCCCAAACCAGAGGGACGACGCUGCUCCCAGUGACGACAACAGGCUGCGUGCGCACAGUGUCCGGGUGGAUGCAGGACAAAUGUAGACACGGCGAACAGCCCCAGGAAAUCACAUUCAUCACACACAAAAGUGCAUUAUGUGAUAAAAAUGUAGUGCCACUUUUUAAUCAUCACAUCAUGCCCCACGAUGAUAACUUGAAAACUAUACCCCGCAUCUUAUUGCACACAUCUUGAACAACCCCCCUCCCUGUAUCCCCAUUUUCUUUCAGAUCCCACCACAAGUGCUGCCUCAGCACCGAACCACCCUGACUUCAGCAGCAAGGUCAAUCACCGUGUCCUGUGCAGGUCAAUUAUGCUACCAGAAGCAUUUGGUGGCUGCAGCCACGCAGAAAAAAAGAAGAACCAAAUCAAGCAACAACCCCCAGCAAUCCAUACCUCAAAUGACAUUUCAAAUUUACAUAUUUUCCCCAAGCACUGUGUACAUGGCGUGAGCGAAGGUCGAAAUGCACUGGCAGGAAUAGAAAAGGAUGUGAGGAGGAGGACCGAUUGCCAGAGAACACAGGAAAUAUCCUCUUCAGGCACUGGACACCCCCAGUGGGACAGACAACUACAACUGUCUGCAUCCUGAAUCAGAAAUAUUGGUACUAAACAUCUAUCCGCACCAAGCAAUUGUCAACUGUAGUUGUUGUUUAUUUAAAACCUUAAAUUAAUGUUUAUUUAUCGUCUUUCAUUCCUUAAAAUCUGUGUGAAUCACACCAGAAUCUUUAACGUCAAAACCAAACGGUUACAUUUAUCCAGUAAAGCAGACUUUUGCUUUGUUAAGCUUUAGCGCAAUGCACCGAAACCUGAAUAAAUCCAACCAUAGACACUGACAAAUGGAAAAAAUGAUAAGGCUAAAACUAAACUUAACCCUAGUAUUGUCAACUUAGUCCAACCCCAACCCUGAUUUAACUUAUAUAUAUAUAUAUAUAUAUAUAUAUCGUGUAAUU